AGAGUUUGAUCCUGGCUCAGAACGAACGCUGGCAGCGUGGAUUAGGCAUGCAAGUCGAACGUGAUCCGGAAUGUAGCAAUACAGUACGGUGAAAGUGGCGCAAGGGUGAGUAACGCGUGGGUAAUCUACCUCUAAGUUGGGGAUAACCUUCCGAAAGGAGGGCUAACACCGAAUGUGGUCACUUCGCAUAUGCGGGGAGGAUCAAAGACGGGGAUCUUUCGGGACCUGUCGCUUGGAGAGGAGCCUGCGUGCCAUCAGCUAGUUGGUAGGGUAAUGGCCUACCAAGGCUUACGGCUAGCUGGUCUGAGAGGAUGACCAGCCACACUGGGACUGAGACACUGCCCAGACUCCUACGGGAGGCUGCAGUCGAGGAUCUUGGACAAUGCGCGAAAGCGUGAUCCAGCGACGCUGCGUGGAGGAUGAAGGCCUUCGGGUUGUAAACUCCUGUCAUUCGGGAAAAACGACUUCGGGAUUAAUACUUCCGGAGAGUGAUGGUACCGAAAGAGGAAGCCACGGCUAACUCUGUGCCAGCAGCCGCGGUAAUACAGAGGUGGCAAGCGUUGUUCGGAUUUACUGGGCGUAAAGGGUGCGUAGGUGGUCGCUCGUGUCGGGUGUGAAAUCCCACGGCUUAACCGUGGAAUGGCAUUCGAAACUGGGUGACUUGAGUGCAGGA
rnacentral:rRNA from 1 species